GUGCCAGCAGCCGCGGUAAGACGUAGGGCGCGAGCGUUGUCCGGAUUUAUUGGGCGUAAAGAGCUCGUAGGCGGCUUGUCGCGUCGACCGUGAAAACUUGGGGCUCAACCCCAAGCCUGCGGUCGAUACGGGCAGGCUAGAGUUCGGUAGGGGAGACUGGAAUUCCUGGUGUAGCGGUGAAAUGCGCAGAUAUCAGGAGGAACACCGGUGGCGAAGGCGGGUCUCUGGGCCGAUACUGACGCUGAGGAGCGAAAGCGUGGGGAGCGAACAGGAUUAGAUACCCUCGUAGUCC
rnacentral:rRNA from 1 species